GGGCUGUUAGCACAGUUGGUAGUGCGCCCGCUUCGCAUAAUUGCGAGCGUGCGGGAGGUCCUGGUUUCGAUUACCAGAUAGUCCA